CCUCCCUUGUACCCCACCACCCACCAGAGGUAGUGGGAAAGAAAGGGGUAGCGGGUAGUGGGAGAAGUAGACCUGUUUAGAAAGGUUCUUUGGAGCAACUCCCGUCUGUGUUGUCUGGACAUCAGCGGUUCAGUUCACAGGUUAGCAGGCAGAGACAGACCAAUCCACUCGCAAAACUUCAGGGAUACAUGAACAGCCCAGUUCAGUAGAGUCCGUUUCACAACAGCGGUGAGGUAACACGACUUAGCAGAGACAGUCAAGCCUCAGCCUCAGCUUGAGUCAGCAGGAGGGACCUAGAAGGAUACCAGGAGAAGUUCUUGGUUUUGCCUCUCUAGGGAAGCAAUGAUCAGCAAAGAGGCAAGACCCACAAGCCUUGCACAGUUAUCUGUACCAGCAAGCCAAGCUCUGUCUCCAUCACUCUGUGGAGUCCUAUUUAUACCCUCCAAACAUCACGUGUCCUCCAUGUGCCUUGCCUCAGCACGUGCAACCAAGCAGCCCAAGUCUGCAGAGUCCCGACAACCGCAGCUCAACUACACAACGUAAGGUGGACCAAUGCGUGCAUGUCACUAGCAAAGAAUCCUUCAUCACGUGUCCUUUCAUGUGCUUGUUUUAACAGAACAUCCUCUCUCCUGUGUCUGCUUCCAGAAAAACGUUCCUUCGUGAGUCCGCCUUAGCCUUUCACACCUGUGUCCACUUUAGCAGAACAUUCCUUCAUGUGUUCACCCCAGCAAAAGACAUUCCAACGGACUUUCCAAAGAAUCCUUAAAGUUUCUACUUCAAGGGGGACCAGCAAAAAUCAGAAAACAUACUGACAGGGAAGGGCCAGUGAGAUGGCUCAUCGUGAGUCAAAGCACCUGCAGCCAAGCCUGAAGACCCGCAGACCCACAGAGAGAAGUCAAGAAUCCACUCCCACUAGUUGUCAGUUUUCAUCCUUUAAUACUGGCACGACAGGGAACUAGGGGGACAUAAUUGGCCCAGUCUUACCCAGCCACUAUGUGGCGGGACUGACGUUAAGUCCAGACAGCUGAUUCUUGUCAUGCUCUCCUAGACUCCCUCUAAAACAGCAUGGUGCACUUGUCUGCUGCUUCAAAGGGUCCCCGGCCUCAAGUGCAAUUUCAGCACUUGUGUGUGUGUGAAGGCAUAGCAGGAGAACUGAAAGCAGGCUAGCCUGGGCAACAUAAUGAGACACUAUCUCCAAAAGCAACAAAGGCACAAAGCAGACUUGUUACCACGUUGUGGAAUGUGGACAGGCUCAAUCCCCACCCCAUGUACCCCAUAGGGUCCUUCUUUCUCUUUCUCUCUCCCUCUCCCCUUUCCUUUUCUCCAUCCCUCCCCUUCCCUAGUACCGGGGCUUGAACUCAGGGCUUUAUGCAUGCUAGGAAUGAAGUGGAAACUUUAAGGGUUCUUUGGAAAGUCAGUUGUGUUGGGUGGUGUUUUGCUGGGGCAAACACGUAAAGGAACGUUUAGCUGAAGCAGACACAGGAGAAAGGAUGUUCUGCUAAAGCAAACACACGAAAGGACACAUGAUGAAGAAUUCUUUGUUAACAACACACGUGUAUGUAUUUGUCUGUCUUAUAUUGCAUAGUUGAGCCCCAUUUGUCAGGACUGCAUGGACUCAGGCUGAUUGGAUGCCGAGGCAAGGCUCAUGCUGAGGUAAGGCCUGUGGAGGACACGUGACGCUUGGAGGGUAUAAAUAGCACUCCACAAAGUGACAGAGACAGAGCUUGGCUUGCUGGUACAGCCAGCUGUGCAAUGCUUGUGGGUCUUGCCUCUUUGCUGAUCAUUGCUUCCCUGAGAGAAGCACAACCAAGAACUUCCCCUGGUGUCCCUCUGGGUCCCUCCUGCUGACUCGAGCUGAGGCUGAGGCCUGCCUGUCUCUGCUAGGUCAUGUCACCCCUAUUGUGAACCUGACUCUACUGAACUGGACUGCUAGUUCAUCCGUGAACUGUUUUCGAAUGGAUCAAGGUGCCACUGCUAACUCGUGAACUGAACUAUUGAUGUGUAGAUAGCAUAGACAGGAGUUGCUCCAAAGAACCUUUCUAAACAGGUCCACUUCCCCAGUACCCUUUCCUUCCUCUGAUGGGUGGUGGAGGAAAGGGAGGUUAAAGUGUUUAAGAACCAUCAUUAAAAGUAGGAUUUGAGGGGUUGGGGAUUUAGCUCAGUGGUAGAGCGCUUGCCUAGGAAGCGCAAGGCCCUGGGUUCGGUCCCCAGCUCCGAAAAAAGAGAACCAAAAAAAAAAAAAAAAAAGUAGGAUUUGAAAAAGUUAAAGUUACAUAGGGAAGUGUUCUAUUGUCAAGCUACACCCCAAGCUCUCCAAAGGGUUUCUAUUCUUUCCUCCUUCCUGCCUAUGUCCACCUCCCUCUCUUCUUCCUGCCUCUCUCUCUUUAAAAGAGAUUCAUUCUAUGUAAAAUACGUACAUGUUUAUGUGUCUGAGUGUUUGUAUAUAUACUAUGUGUGUGUAAUGCUCUUGGAGGCCAGAAGGGGGAGUCAGAUCCCUCGGAACUGGUGUUACAGGCAGUUAACUGCCUGCUGUGUGCUGGGAACCAAACUUUGGUCCUCAGUGAGAGCAGCACGUACUCUGGCCCGCUGAGCUAUCUUUCCAGUCUUUCUUUGGAAAGAACUUGUAAUCUUGCCACAGCCUCCUGAUUCCAAGCCUGUGCCACCACAUCUGACCUUCCAAAGGUCUGUGUAUGUGUGCGUUUGUAACAUGUAUAUAUGUGUGGUAUAUGUGUGUGUUUAGGUGGGCAGUACCUGUGCAUGUGUAUGAAGGCCAAAAGACAUUUGGAGCUCCCUGUCUUAUUCCCUUGAGAUAAGGUCUCUUGCUGAAUUUGGAGCUAGUGGCCAGAGAACACUCAAGACACUCCUGUUUACAGUCCCCCCCAGGAUGUGACUAAAGUUACACACUACUCCCUAGCACUGGGGUUAGAGGCAGGCUUGGCUUUUCACGUGGGUGCCAAGGAUUAAACUUAAGUCUUCACGCUUAUUCAGUUUGUGCUCUUACCCACUGAGACAUUUCUGCAACCUGUUAAAGAGCUUCAAAAUAUAUACAAAGUGGUCUGUGCCUUUAAUCCCAGCUCUUUGGAGGCAAAGGUAGGCAGAUCUCUGUGAAUUCUGGGUAGCCUGGUCUACAUAGAAAGUUCCUGUACAGUCAGGGCUACAUAACAGAGAGACCUUGCCUCAAAAGACAAGCCAGAAAGAAUAGUGUGUGUGCACAAUGUGUGUGUGCAGAGGUUGGAGGACAACUAUUGGGAGCUGGCUUUCUCCUUUCCCCGUGUAGGUUCUGGGGUAGAACUCAGGUCACCAGGCUUAGUGGCAAGUGUUGUUAUCCACUGAGCGGACAUGAGUGACCAGUGAGGGGGCUGUUACUCUGGGGUAAGAUGACAUAGGGGCAUAGGGACACAACAUCUAGUGAGGACAGACCAGUGGCCAACUGUGCUUUCCGUCUGUUUCCUGGCCCAACUCUUUGUUUCCUGGCUUCUGGGCCAGCUCUCAAUUUUAGUAUAUGUGCUGUCGAAGUGAGCACCUGGGCCAGCUCUCAAACCCAGUCACCCACAGAUGCUGAUCCCUGUUCCCACACCAGGCCUGCAUUAGAGCUGGAAACCCUGUCUCAGGUACUCUGUGCUGUGAAGAGUCAGGGCAUGGGUAUCAGGCUAGGCCUACAAGGCUGUUACUAUGUGACAAGGGUGGGGCAUUGGAGAAGGGGUGGCGGCCCAGCCCAGCCAGCCUGCAUGAUUUGGGGGUGGGUGAAGCUGGAAUGUGGGUCUGGUUUUGCUUUCAUUGUUCUGUGGCAGGCCUGGCAGAAGUGAAGUCCAUGAGCAGUGGGCUUUUCAGGCAGAGGGGCAGCACAGCCAGAGGCGUGGCUGGGGACAACAUGAGGCGCCAUUGGUGAGCAGUGGAGAUGAUCUUUCCUCUGGAUGCUCUCCCUACAGAAUGCUGCGGCCAAGCCAAGGACUUUCCAUGCUGUCAUGGCUGUGGUAACCUUUGUGAGUAGACUGUGUUUAGGCCUUCCACAGCCUGGAUUGAGAUGUUAAGUCUGGGGGACAGAGGGGUGCUGAUGAAUACCGGUGUGCUGCUGGCUGUCGUUCUGGGCAGGAGAGGCUGAGCCUGACCCCGUGUGCAGGUCUAGAUGACGCUGCAGUAUUUCCAAUUACUGUGAGUGGCUUGGUUGGGGAAACCAUCCAACAGAAGAAAUGGGGAUGGGGGGGGGUGCUGGAGAGAUGGCUCAGCGGUUAAGAGCUCUGGUGGCUUUUCCAGAGGACCUGGGUUCAAUUCCCAGCACCCACAUCGUAGCUCACAACAAUCUGUAGCUCCAAUUCCAGCAGAUUUGGUACCUUCACAGACGUACAUACAGGCAAAACAUCAGUGCACAUAAAAUAAAAAUAAGUCUUUGAAAUAAAGAAAUGUGAGGCUCUAUGAUGGGGGCUGAGGGGUCUGUUCUAGGCAUCUUUCUUGUUUCAAACUGAUUUCUUCGUUAGAGACAAAUGCUACUACUGUUGAUUUUAUGUGAUUGUGGACAAAGAAAUCCAAACAUGGAGGAAGCUAAGUCUUUUGUUAAUUAAUUAAUUAUAAGUACACUAACUGUCUGCAGACACACCAGAAGAGGGCAUCAGAUCUCAUCACAGAUGGUUGUGAGCCACCAUGUGGUUGCUGGGAAUUGAACUCAGGACCUCUGGAAGAGCAGUCGGUGCUCUUAAUCACUGAGCCAUCUCUCCAGCCUGGAAGCUAAGUCUUUAUGAUUCUGUUUCCUAGUCAUAAUUCAUCAUCACUGUUGACCUCACCCCUUCUAAGAUGCUUCCUCUCUGCAGGCUCAUUCAGUCUCCUGCAGGCAUGGUCAUGCUCAAGGGAAAGGGGGUCCUAGCCCUGCCCUUGGCUGUCCUGUGCCACUCUCAUUUAGGGUUUACCUGGACUAAGGUGUGAUUCAUGUCCUAGCUCCCUCUCCCUCUGCUUCUUCCUUAGCCAGAAGGUACCUGGACUAGAAGGUUCUGUUCCCUGUGCAGCCAGUGUCCAAGGUGGCUCCAGGACAGUUCCUCUAGGGUCCCUUCAGCAUUGGACUGCACCUAGCUCCUCUAGGAACACUCAAGCAGCCCUGGGGAGGAAGUGCAUGGAUGGUCCCAGAGUCCUUAGCCACAGCCCACACCUGUCUGCCUGCCAUGGCUCUGAGUUGCUUUAGAAAUAUACAGUUCAACUCCAGCUCAUGCCCGGCUCAACUGCAGCUGCUCUAUGCCAGCCUGUGCCAGUCUGUGCCAGUCCAUGCAUCUCAGACCUGAUUCAUCCUGUGCACUUCGUGGCGGUGGAGGGCGGGUCAGAGAUGACUCAGUGCGAAGCCUGCUGGGAGAGGAGUCCUUUACCACAACCCUGCUGGUUUGUUAGCAUCCCAGCUGGUGAAAUGGCCCAACCUGGAAAAAUGCCUGCUGCUAAGAUGACCCCAGUUUGACUGAUGACCUGGAACUACAAUGUAGAAGUUUCUUACUGUGUUAGGUUUUCCUGCCCAGCCCUGAGGGACAAAGCCCAGGAAGAGCUAUUUCUCUCUGGAAGCAUGCAUUCUCCCCCAAGCCCACCAACUGCAAGCAGAUGGACUACUCUUCCCCUGGCUUCAGUAUUUGGUUGUGGAUGCACGAGAGUUGUGCCACUGCUGCUGAUUCGUGUUUGCUAUCCUGACUGCUGGUGUAACUGGGAGGUGUUUGUGAGCGGAUCAAGCUGCCGCUGCCUGCUGACCUGUGAACUGAACUGCUGACUUCCAGACGACACAGAUGGGAGUUCCUCCGAAGAGCCUUUCUAAAUAGGUCCACUUGCCACCCCACACCCACCCUGUAUUCUUUCUUUCCCGCUACCUCUGGUGUGUGGUGGGUUAAAAGGGAGGUUAAAGUGUCUAAGAACUAUCAUUAAAAGUAGCAUUUGGAGGGGUUGGGGAUUUAGCUCAGCGGUAGAGCGCUUGCCUAGCGAGCGCAAGGCCCUGGGUUCGGUCCCCAGCUCCGGAAAAAAAAAGAAAAAAAAAAGUAGCAUUUGGAAAAAUUAACGUUACAUAUCCCUGAGGUCACUGCGUGCAUCUUUAAUCCCAGGGUUUAGAAGACAGAAGUAGUCAGUGAGGCAGUACUCAGAUGUGAAGCCAGCCUGGUCCACAUUCCACUCAGUCAGGGCUUACAAAGUGAAACCCCAGCUCAAACAAACUCCAAAUCAAGAUUAAAGUUAAACAAUCAUCACAAUAAAACCCAAACUGGCAAGAAGGCAUCGUGGCUUAUACCUAUCUGACAUCAUGAAGCUGGCCGGCCACCAAGCCUCCCACAUCCAGUGCAUGUACGGUCUCUCUUCUGUGGGAGCUGAAGCCGCAGUCUCAGUGGGAGGGGGAGCAGAACGCUCCCAGGGGACAGAGGGGACUGUGUGAAACUUUAGCGUCUUCAUAGGUCCAAAGCCAUCUUGGAGUCUCAAAGCAUCCUCCUGAUGCUUUGAAAAACGAGCAAACAACCACCAAGAGAAAUGGUUUUAAGGGCUGGAGAGAUGGCUCAGUGGUUAAGAGCACCGACUGUUCUUCCAGAGGUCCUGGGUUCAAUUCCCAACAACCACAUGGUGGCUCACAACCAUCUGUAAUGGGAUCUGAUGCCCUCUUCUGGUGUGUCUGAAGACAGCUACAGUGUACUAAAUAAAUAUAAUAAAUAAAAUAUAAAAAA